UACGUAGGGUCCGAGCGUUGUCCGGAAUUAUUGGGCGUAAAGGGCUCGUAGGCGGUCUGUUGCGUCGGGAGUGAAAACUUACAGCUUAACUGUGAGCGUGCUUCCGAUACGGGCAGACUGGAGUACUGCAGGGGAGACUGGAAUUCCUGGUGUAGCGGUGAAAUGCGCAGAUAUCAGGAGGAACACCGAUGGCGAAGGCAGUGAUCUGGGCCGGUACUGACGCUGAGGAGCGAAAGCGUGGGUAGCAAACAGGAUUGAGACUACC
rnacentral:rRNA from 1 species